UCAAUAUCCUUCCUUGGAACGCACGCUAACUUACCGAGCUCUCUUCUUCUGUCCACCACACCCGGGGGAAUUAGCCAUGGAGGGAGGACUCAUGGCCACAGAUCAGAGCGACUGGCCAGCUGUCCAGGGUCGAGGGUGUGUACUACAAAGGUCCCCGGCUGGACCCAAACCAGGGACAGUGCGAUUAAAUGGUUGGUGUCUUCAUCCACCAGGACUCCGUCUAUGGCAGGACAACCAGUCCAAACAUACAGCCAGAAUCAUAAAGAACUAUCUUCGGACAGACAUGCCACAGAUGGUCUGGCUGAUCUCAACAUCAUGGAGUCAGUCUGGUUUUCGGGCCACAAACCAGACUGGAAACCAGACUGAAGUUCACUACAGCAGACUGGUGUACUGAGAGAGAGUAACGUCACAGGACUGAGGGCGAUGCCGGGAAUCAUUUUCCACCAAGCUGUCCUCCUCUGCAGUGGGUGAAACAGCCUCUCAUCAUGGCUGGAUGGACAGACAAUCAGCAUGCUCAGGUUGGUGUCUCAUGCAGUUAAUGUGCUUCUGUAAACCUCCCAGCUUAGACACUCGGGGGCUGUGAAGUCACAGAGUGGCAGACAGUGAGCACAGUCUGCUGGCUGGUGAAGCACUUUCUUUCCACAACAAAACGUCAUGUCACACACACACCGACUGCCCCCGGGCAGCGUCACCUCGCCGGCCAAGCUGUGCCGCCUCUGACUGGAUGCUCUGACACAUUCAGCUGCACAAAAUA